CCUACGGGUGGCAGCAGUGGGGAAUAUUGCGCAAUGGGCGAAAGCCUGACGCAGCGACGCCGCGUGAGGGAUGAAGCUCUUCGGAUCGUAAACCUCUGUCAUCAGGGAACAACGGUCGCUGUGCUAAUCCGCAGUGAAUUGACGGUCCCUGCAAAGGAAGCUCCGGCUAACUCCGUGCCAGCAGCCGCGGUAAUACGGAGGGUGCGAGCGUUAAUCGGAAUUACUGGGCGUAAAGUGCUCGUAGGCGUGAUGUAAAGUCAAGGGGAAAAUCCCCGAGCGAAACGUGGGAACUGCCUUUGAAACUGGGAAACUGGAGUGUGUGAGAGGAUAGUGGAAUUCGAGGUGUAGGGGUGAAAUCCGUAGAUAUCUGGAGGAACAUCAGUGGCGAAGGCGACUAUCGGGCACAUGACUGACGCUGAGGAGCGAAAGCGUGGGUAGCAAACAGGAUUAGAUACCCGAGUAGUC
rnacentral:rRNA from 1 species